UAAUUGAAGAGUUUGAUCAUGGCUCAGAUUGAACGCUGGCGGCAGGCCUAACACAUGCAAGUCGAGCGGAAACGAGAAGGUGCUUGCACCUUCGGCGUCGAGCGGCGGACGGGUGAGUAAUGGCUGGG
rnacentral:rRNA from 1 species